rnacentral:rRNA from 1 species
UACGAAGGGGGCUAGCGUUGCUCGGAAUCACUGGGCGUAAAGCGCACGUAGGCGGAUCGUUAAGUCAGGGGUGAAAUCCUGGAGCUCAACUCCAGAACUGCCUUUGAUACUGGCGACCUUGAGUUCGGGAGAGGUGAGUGGAACUGCGAGUGUAGAGGUGAAAUUCGUAGAUAUUCGCAAGAACACCAGUGGCGAAGGCGGCUCACUGGCCCGAUACUGACGCUGAGGCACGAAAGCGUGGGGAGCAAACAGG